GUUGUGUUAUAGAGGAAACGUUCACUUGAGAUCUAUCCUUAUCCUAUCCUUAAAACCUUAAAAUGGCCAAAAAAGAUAUUCAAAUCUGUGUCCAGCGGGUUAAAUUCUCUGAGGUCUCUCCUGUCUCUGUCUCGCGAAAUCACCGAAAAUACGAGUAUCGACAACACAAAUCAAAGUCCAUAAUUAGCCCGAUGCAAAGCGGAUUGAAACGAUUGAAUCGCCUCAGAUGGAUCCAACGGAUCGGAUCGGAUCGGAUUGGAUUGGAUGCGAUUGGAUCGGUCUGUGUCGUGAUGUGAUUUACUUCGUGUCCAGGCCCUGGCACUGUGCACGCAGUGGCAGUGCGGCCCAAGAUGGGGGAAGGAAUCUGCGAUGGAGGGCAGCCGUUUGGGCCAUGCCCAAAUUAAAGUGUCUGCAGACCGCAAAACGUCCAUCACAGUCGCAGUGGAAGGAAGGGCAGGCCAAGAGUGAGCAGAGAGCAGGCAACAACAAGAAACAAGCCAAUAAAAUUGUCAUGCAUUGACAAAUAACAUGGCCAGCAAGGCUUAGAAAAAUAGACAGCCCAUAGGGGAGAAACAGAGAGGGGCACAGAGGCAGAAAGAUGCGAACGAAGAACCUCCGAGCCAGGUCCAACCCGAACAAAGCCAAAGUGUUUCCAGCAAAGAAAACGAAGUCAAGGGGAAAAAUGGCGUUUGCCGCAGCCAAAAAGGCAACAGCAACAACGUCUAAAAUGUUUCCAAUACCCUUA